AAGAGCUGUAUGAAUCGAGAGAUUCACGUACGGUUCUGUGAGAGCCUUGGGGUGAAACUCCCUUUGGCUACUCGAU
rnacentral:ncRNA from 1 species